rnacentral:ncRNA from 1 species
AUAAUGAUACUUCCGAUAAAGAUUCGGUCUGAAAAGAUGGUGCAAAUCCAAUGA